CAGCAAGUCCUUUUUCAAAAGAAAGAGGGACCUUUGUCCAAGGAAUACCUCCGAACAAGCCGGCGCGGAGUCUUCGCUAUGUAGCGCGUCGUAACAAGCGGAACGUUGAUAUUGAAGCUGUGUGCGAAGGCCUCAUGGAACUGGGGCCAAAGUCACAAAACUUCAAUUAUAUCUCGCUUUCGGUGCAACAGCGACGUAAGAAUACGAAAGAGACGCCCGUAAGACUCUUCUGUGCUUUACAUACGUACUGUGGUGCAACUAAAACGUGUGCUGAUUAGGCGAAUUGUGUCUCUU
rnacentral:lncRNA from 1 species